ensembl:lncRNA
GAUUAAACUUGUCAAGAGGCCUGAUUGACAGGGUCAAAUCUUCACAUUCCAUUCUGCUGAAAUGAGAAAAAAGAAAGUAAAAUAGACACUCGAUGUGUCAGCUUCCCUUCCCUUUCCCUUCCUUUUCUUUUCCUCUCCCAAGCUCAGCAAACUCCCCUGUUCUCUCCCUCCCUUUCACUCAUUUUUCCUGCCUCCCUCGCUUUCCCCCUUACAAUCUCGGUCAGGAAUGUUUUAAUUUUAGGGAUAGAUUCUGCCUGUCAAGCGAGGCUGGAUGGCCUGUAGUUCAGAUGAUGAGAUGUGAUGGGUGUAAAACAAUAAAAAAAAAAAGAGAGCGGAGAUGUGAGAGAACAAAGAGGAAAAGAGCUCACUUUAUUGGACAGAUUUAAUUACACUGAAUAGAGAUUAAGGCAGGCAAUCCACUGAGGUGUGAAAUUAACCCUUGAUUACUGAUGAAGCUCUGAACAGAGGCUGAAAACAACAUUUAAAAAAGAUUGACCACUCAGUAGCAAUAAUUAUUUCAGAUAUCACUGUUUCAAUUUAAAAAAAAAAACAACAACAACAUCUGGUUAUGUAAAGCUUAUGUGCAUACAUAAAUUAGGAUAGAAAACUACAUUAUUAACAGGGAUAAAAAAAAAAAAAAAACCACUAACAGAUCUGAAAUCCAGCAGCUUGCUUGCAACAAAGAUUACUAACCUUUCUGUUCAACAGGACUCUUUCCCUGCAGGGGAAUGGGACCAUGGCAGGGGAAAAAAGAAGAAAAAAAACAAUUAAAAAUGCAAAAAUGAGUUGAUGCAAUCUGCUCACUCUAAACGACAUUGCAGACUUAUUCUGCUGAAAUCUCCAACGCAUCGCUACAUCAACCGUAUUCAGAGAACGGACAGUUGUGAUUUGCACAUAACUGAAAGAAAGGAUUUUCAAAAUAAAUUACCGUAAGCAGCUUAAAAUAUUUAGUUCACUCAAAUAUCUCCAAUAAUUCUCACUUCUUUGCUGUAAUUCACAGAACGUGUGUUUAAAAACAAACCCUUAUCUCACGCAGCACAUUUCAAAACAAGGACUAAAAAUGUUCAUAUUAGGAAACAAGUGCUUUUCUCCUGCACUGAAUACCAGCCAGGUGCUCUCCCUUAGUGCUAUCAAUAUUCCCUAGAACACAGUCAAGAAAAAGGGAGCACUUCAUGCUCCAUAUUUUGAUAAAUAAGGUUAGAUAAUUCUUUACAAAAAAGAAAAGAAAAAGGCAAAAGAAGAGCAAAAACAUCAUUCAGAUAAACACAGUUAGGCCAGUAAAACAACACGAGACUCGCUUAUGAAUGCAGCCUGAUCCUAGCACGCUGUUGUUUAUUCAUCUUACUAUCACCACACAUUAUCAGCCAGCCAUCCAGGAGGGAAAUGGGACAUCCUCUUGUUCAGACCUGAUGUUCACAACUCGGAGACAGCCAAAUGCACUGCCCCGACAAGGCUAGCUGUUCGUAUAAUUAGCAGUAAUUAAUGAAGAGAAAGAAAAGACUCGUUUGUAUUUUAAAUGAUCUUAAAUGAUCCCAUUAGCACUUGUCAUAGUCCUG